rnacentral:lncRNA from 1 species
UGUCUUUAUUUCCAGGAGUAGACUUCAAAAUACGUGCCAGAAAUGGACAAUUUGAGUGUCCUUUCUCCACAUCAAAUGCGAGCUGGAAGGGGGAUUAAAAACCAACCACGUGGUAGAUCUGGUUUUAUACUUUGCAACCUCCAGCUCCAUUUAUGUUCUUUACCCUGCUCAGGGAAGAUUAGCCUCUAGAUGGAUGUGUCUGAGGGAUCACCUCGGGGGCAGAUCUGCAUGUAGAAACCGGUUUUUGUCAUGGCUGGAAGAGAGCUAUGACCCAGCAGAGCCCUCCAUCCGAGCGGCUCCCCCAGCAUCGCAGGAGCUGCUGAGCGCUCCUGCACAGGAAGCUUUGUGAAGGCAACAGCUUGGAAGGGGAAGAUCUUCAGAUCUUUCCCCCUUCUUCUCCUCGUCCCUGGCCUGUGAGUGAUUCAGUGUCCCAAACCUUAACUUUCUGUUACCACCUUCUUCCUCUUAAUCUCCUUCAUCUUCAACACCUCCUCCUCUAUCACUAUCAUCUUCUCCUCCAUCUGUCUGCCUGCUGGAUUUCUCUCGCUUGCUUGCUUUCCCCCCUCCUCUUCCACCUCCCUCCUCUUUCUUCUUGCCUUUUCCUUCUCUCUUUUCUUCUCUUUUCUUUCUCUUUUUCCUCCUCUUCCCCUACACGUUGUUGUUGUUGUUAGAAAGGAUUCUUGCACCCCCUGGUGCUCUUGCGUUUUGUGUGGUUGGAGAGGAGAUUGUCUUCUUUCUCUCUCUCCCUCUGGUUGCUCAUUAUUCAGAGAGAGACACAGAGGGUGAGAGAGAGAGAGAGAGAGAGACGGAUAUCUCAGGUCAUCUGCAGCUGCAGCAAACCAGUGAAGGAGAGAGAGAGAGAGGGAGAGGGAGAGAGAGAGAGGGGGGGAAAAGCAGGGAAAGAUGGCGAUCCUCCAUUGCUGAGACCUGGCAAGGAGCACAUGAGACUCACAAAACAACUUCCACAACAAUAACAAGAAGAGCUAGGCAGAGAGGAAGAGGAGAGGAGAGGAGAGGAGAGGAGGCAGCAGCAAGAGCAGCAGUGCCGGGACACUCCUUUUAG